UUCAUUAAUCCUUUCAUUCUAGAUUUCAUUUAAAAAUCAAUUGAUUAUGCUACCUUUGUACAGUCAGUUAUACUGCAGCCAUUUAAUUUAUUCGUCGGGCAGAUUGACUUAAAAUUAUUUUCAAUAAGACAUCGGAAGAGCACACUUCUGAGUAGUAGCCACAUAUACACGAUG